rnacentral:rRNA from 1 species
GACGAACCGUGCGAACGUUGUUCGGAAUCACUGGGCUUAAAGGGCGCGUAGGCGGACCACCAAGUCCGGGGUGAAAUCCUCCGGCUCAACCGGAGAAUGGCCUCGGAUACUGGGGGUCUGGAGGCGGGUAGGGGCGUGCGGAACUCUGGGUGGAGCGGUGAAAUGCGUUGAUAUCCUAAGGAACACCAGUGGCGAAAGCGACUCACUGGGUCUCUUCUGACGCUGAGGCACGAAAGCUAGGGUAGCGAACGGG